UACGAGGGGUGCAAACGUUAUUCGGAAUUACUGGGUGUAAAGGGUACGUAGACGGCAUUGUAAGUCAAUUGUUAAAUCUCUCAGCUUAACUGAGAAUCUGUGAUUGAAACUACAAAGCUAGAGAGUGGAAGAGAGAAGUGGAAUUCUCGGAGUAGCGGUAAAAUGCGUAGAUCUCGAGAGGAACACCGAUGGCGAAGGCAGCUUCUUGGUCCAUAUCUGACGUUGAGGUACGAAAGCGUGGGGAGCAAACAGG
rnacentral:rRNA from 1 species